rnacentral:rRNA from 1 species
AGAACGAACGCUGGCGGCAGGCUUAACACAUGCAAGUCGAGCGCCCCGCAAGGGGAGCGGCAGACGGGUGAGUAACGCGUGGGAAUCUACCCAAUCCUUCGGAAUAGCUCCGGGAAACUGGAAUUAAUACCGAGUACGCCCUACGGGGGAAAGAUUUAUCGGGGUUGGAUGAGCCCGCGUUGGAUUAGCUAGUUGGUGGGGUAAUGGCCUACCAAGGCGACGAUCCAUAGCUGGUCUGAGAGGAUGAUCAGCCACACUGGGACUGAGACACGGCCCAGACUCCUACGGGAGGCAGCAGUGGGGAAUAUUGGACAAUGGGCGCAAGCCUGAUCCAGCCAUGCCGCGUGAGUGAUGAAGGCCCUAGGGUUGUAAAGCUCUUUCAGUGGGAAGAUAAUGACGGUACCACAGAAGACGCCCGCUAACGUCGUGCCGAGCAGCCGAC